GGCUUCCUGCCCGGAGCCCCGGGCCCCAGCCUGAGCGGAGGUCCCUGCUGUGUUCCGAAAGGGAAAAGGGGUGGUCCCCGUCGUCCUUGUAGCUGCCUUCGGAGUGGCUUAGUCCAGAUACUGGGUGUGAAACAACAAAGUCAGCUCCAAAUCAUGACACUUCUUUAGGAGGGACAACCAAGGAAAGACUCAAGAGAGAAGAUCCCUGGGAUUCUAGGUUUGCAGAAGCCUGAGGAUAUGUUACGAGCUUAGAGCAACAGAAUGGCAAGCAUGAAAAACAAUCCCAGCAGGUAAAAAUCACCCACAGGAAAAAUGCAUUUGGAAAAGGCCUUGAUCUGGAGUCAAUCCUGGUUCCAAAAAACAAAGUCCACAUGGGGGAGAGUUUGCACCAAUGUGACACCUAUCUAAAGAACUUCAAACAGUGUUCAGACAAGAGUAAACUGCAUGGAAUUUUUACUAAGAAAACACUUUGUAAUUAUCAUAAUUACAGAAAACCAUUUGGUUGCUAUUCAGAUCUCAUUCCAACAUCGAAAGAAAAAUGCCAAAGAAAAAUUACAUCAUUGUGAAGAAGUGUUUAGCAGUAGCUCAUCUCUUAAAAAUCAACCCAUAAUUCAUGCUGCACAGAAACCUUUUCAGUGUAAUGAAUAUGGAAAAUCUUUUAGCUGGCCUGGAGGUCUGAGUGAACAUAAGAGAAUUCACACUGGAGAGAAGUCCUAUGAAUAUGGUGAGUAUAGGAAGAUCUUUAGUUGCUGUGGAGAUGGAGACUUUACUAAAUAUAAGAGAAUUCAAACUGGAGAGAAACCCUUUGAAUGUAAUGAAUGUGGGAAAUCUUUUAAGCAACAUGGAGACCUUAAUAAACAUAGGAGGUUUCAUACUGGGGAGAAACCCUUUGAAUGUAAUGAAUGUGGGAAAUCCUUUAAACAGCCUGGACACCUUUCUGGAUAUAAGAGACUUCACACUGAAAAGAAACCCUUUGAAUGUAAUGAAUGUGGAAAAUCCUUUAGGUGCUCUGGGUACUUUACUAAACAUAAGAGAAUUCAUAAUAGUGAGAAACCUUUUGAAUGUAAUGAAUAUGGGAAAUCCUUUCAACAGAAUAGUUGUCUUACUGUACAUAAGUGAAUUCAUACUGGAGAAAAACCCUUUGAAUGUAGUGAGUGUGGGAAAUCCUUUAGAAGGCAUAUAAAGCUUACUGCACAUAGGAGAAUUCAUACUGGAGAGAAACCCUUUGAAUGUAGUGUAUGUGGGAAAUCCUUUAGAUGGAGUGGAGACCUUAUUGCUCACAAAAGAAUUCAUACUGGAGAGAAACCCUUUGAAUGUAAUGAAUGUGGGAAAUUAGCGUGGAAUUCUUACUACCCAUAAAAGACUUCAUACUGGA